rnacentral:rRNA from 1 species
UAGGGAAUCUUCGGCAAUGGACGAAAGUCUGACCGAGCAACGCCGCGUGAGUGAAGAAGGUUGUCGGAUCGUAAAACUCUGUUGUUAGAGAAGAACAAGGACGUUAGUAACUGAACGUCCCCUGACGGUAUCUAACCAGAAAGCCACGGCUAACUACGUGCCAGCAGCCGCGGUAAUACGUAGGUGGCAAGCGUUGUCCGGAUUUAUUGGGCGUAAAGCGAGCGCAGGCGGUUUCUUAAGUCUGAUGUGAAAGCCCCCGGCUCAACCGGGGAGGGUCAUUGGAAACUGGGAGACUUGAGUGCAGAAGAGGAGAGUGGAAUUCCAUGUGUAGCGGUGAAAUGCGUAGAUAUAUGGAGGAACACCAGUGGCGAAGGCGGCUCUCUGGUCUGUAACUGACGCUGAGGCUCGAAAGCGUGGGGAGCAAACAGG